rnacentral:rRNA from 1 species
AGUGAACGCUGGCGGUAUGCCUAACACAUGCAAGUCGAACGGCAGCACCGUAAGAGCUUGCUCUUACGGGUGGCGAGUCGCGGACGGGUCAGGUAUACAUCGUACUCUACUUUUUCGUGGGGGCUUACGUAGGUGAAUUUACUCUAAUACCGCAUACGACCUACGGUGUGAGGUAGGGGAGCUUUUGCCCUUUGGCAUUAGAUCGAGCCGAUUCCGGAUUAGCUAGUUGGCGGGGUAAAGCCCCACCACGGCGACGAUCCGUAGUGGGUGUGAGUGGAUGAUCAGCCACACUGGAACGGAGACACGGUCCAGACUCCUACGGGAGGGAGCAGACGGGAAUAUUGGACAAUGGGCGGAAGCCUGAUCCAGCCAUACCGAGUGGGUGACGGAGGCCUUCGGGGUGUAAAGCCGGCUUGCUGGGAGAGAAAAGCAGCAGGUUAAGACCACGCUGUUCUGACGGUACCCAAAGAAGAAGCACCGGCUAACUUCGUG